rnacentral:rRNA from 1 species
AGAGUUUGAUCCUGGCUCAGGAUGAACGCUAGCUACAGGCUUAACACAUGCAAGUCGAGGGGCAGCAUGGAAGAAGCUUGCUUCUUCUGAUGGCGACCGGCGCACGGGUGCGUAACGCGUAUCAAACCUGCCUCAUACUCGGGGAUAGCCUUGCGAAAGUAAGAUUAAUACCCGAUGUUGUUAUGUUACCGCAUGGUGAUAUAACCAAAGAUUUAUCGGUAUGAGAUGGUGAUGCGUCCGAUUAGGUAGUAGGCGGGGUAACGGCCCACCUAGCCUUCGAUCGGUAGGGGUUCUGAGAGGAAGGUCCCCCACACUGGAACUGAGACACGGUCCAGACUCCUACGGGAGGCAGCAGUGAGGAAUAUUGGUCAAUGGACGAAAGUCUGAACCAGCCAAGUAGCGUGCAGGAUGACGGCCCUCUGGGUUGUAAACUGCUUUUAGUUGGGAAUAAAAAAGAGGACGUGUCCUCUAUUGUAUGUACCUUCAGAAAAAGGACCGGCUAAUUCCGUGCCAGCAGCCGCGGUAAUACGGAAGGUCCAGGCGUUAUCCGGAUUUAUUGGGUUUAAAGGGAGCGUAGGCGGAUUAUUAAGUCAGUGGUGAAAGACGGUGGCUCAACCAUCGUUAGCCAUUGAAACUGGUAGUCUUGAGUGCAGACAGGGAUGCUGGAACUCGUGGUGUAGCGGUGAAAUGCUUAGAUAUCACGAUGAACUCCGAUCGCGAAGGCAGGUGUCCGGGCUGCAACUGACGCUGAGGCUCGAAAGUGUGGGUAUCAAACAGGAUUAGAUACCCUGGUAGUCCACACAGUAAACGAUGUAUACUCGCGGUUUGCGAUAGACAGUAAGCCGCCAAGCGAAAGCAUUAAGUAUACCACCUGGGGAGUACGCCGGCAACGGUGAAACUCAAAGGAAUUGACGGGGGCCCG